ensembl:lncRNA
CUGCUGAUGAGUCAUGGAGAGGGCGAUGGUAUUGGCUAAGUCAGCCGCCGGUCACUGCAGAAGGAUAACCUUUCAAUUGGACUUCCCUGGCGGCCCAGCGGUUAAAAAUCUGCCUUGCAAGGCUGAGUAUUUGGGUUUGAGCUCUCCUUGGGGAACUAAGACCCUACAUGCCUCGUAACUACUGAGAGAGUGAAUUCUCAGGGAAUGACAGUGGCUGGCUAGAAUUGCCUGGGACAAAGGAGAUACAGAUGUGGCUUCCAGAGGACAGUGGACCAGCGCUGGCAUGUCCACACACAGGCACGUCUGGCCUCCUCUCCUGCCAUCUCACACCAGCUGAUUGAGAAUCUACCAGAAUUAAGUUAUUGAUUUAUCGGGUCGAGGCAGCGGAGGGGAACCGACCCCAUGGCAAGAUUAGAAACGACAGCCAGAUGCAGACCCAGCCUCAGAAACGAUGAGCACUGGUCUCACAGCCAACCCCUCACCACCUCUCCCUGCCGUGCGCGCACUAAUCUCCUGGAUCUGACUUCUCCUUCCGGGUCUGACUUUUCCUUCCGGGUCUGACUUUUCCUUCCGGGCCUGAUCCUCUGCCCACAGGCGCUCAGGCAUCUGUCCUUAUCCUCACGGCUAAAUAAACCCAUUCAGACCCCAAGUUAACGGCGACUGACGGGUCUGUUGGUGAGAAGCUCUGUCUGCAACAUGAUUUCUGACAAGUCGUUUGGCAUAAUUAAAAAAUCG